rnacentral:rRNA from 1 species
AUGAACGCUAGCGAUAGGCCUAACACAUGCAAGUCGAGGGGCAUCACAAAGAGUAGCAAUACUUUUGGUGGCGACCGGCGGAUGGGUGAGUAACACGUAUGCAACCUACCUUCUACAUUGGGAUAACCCGUUGAAAGACGGACUAAUACCGAAUAAGUACAGGGGCGCCACAUGGUGAUAUUUGUUAAAGUUUCGAGCAAUCGAUUCGGUAGAAGAUGGGCAUGCGUAUGAUUAGCUAGUUGGUGAGGUAACGGCUCACCAAGGCAACGAUCAUUAGGGGUUCUGAGAGGAAGGUCCCCCACACUGGUACUGAGACACGGACCAGACUCCUACGGGAGGCAGCAGUGAGGAAUAUUGGUCAAUGGGCGCGAGCCUGAACCAGCCAAGUCGCGUGAAGGAAGACUGUCCUAUGGAUUGUAAACUUCUUUUGUACAGGAAUAAAGUGUUCUACGUGUAGGAUUUUGCAUGUACUGUACGAAUAAGGAUCGGCUAACUCCGUG